rnacentral:tRNA from 1 species
AAGACAUUAGUAAAAUAUAGAUUACACCACCUUGUCAAGGUGGUAUCGCAGGUUAAAUCCCUGCAUGUCUUA